UAGUUCGAAGCCUGCUCGGGAAUACAGCCC
rnacentral:piRNA from 1 species